GAUCUCAGCCUACGAUAGAAAACACAGAAGUUAGCAGGUUCAAAUGUGCCUAAAAUAUAUAAAGGUUAAUGAGUGAGGAGAUCUCAGCCUACAAAAGAAAACACAGAAGUUAUUAGCAGGUUCAAAUGUGCCUAGAAUAUGUAAAGGUUAAUAAUGAGUGAGGUAGCCGAAAGAGCUGGUUUGAGUGGAUGGUCAUGUAGAAAGAUCUCAGCCUACAAUAGAAAACACAGAAGUUUUCUUAAGCACUGGCAAAAGUGGUGCAACUAUGUCACAGAUAAAUGGCCUGACUGUAUUUCUUUACUCUAUGGAAAAUGAUUUCUCCCGGCUUUAUUUUUAGUUUUGUAUGUUUUUAUGGUAUUGUUUUUGUUUCUUUAUUUGCAUAUGUGUUUGUUUGUUUUUCUUCUACUUCUCUUUAUACAUAGAAUCUGAAAAAUUGAAAUAUGUGUAUGUGAGAUUCUGAACACUAAUAAAAUAUAAAUAAUAAAAAAAAAGAAAACACAGAAGUUAGCAGGUUCAAAUGUGCCUAAAAUAUAUAAAGGUUAAUAAUGAGUGAGGUUCCGAAAGAGCUGGUUUGAGUGGAUGGUCAUGUAGAAAGAUCUCAGCCUACAAUAAAAAAACACAGAA